ACACGGCCUCAUACGAUAGUCGAUAAAUCCCUGGUCGGUCGAGCACUUCCCCUCCAGGAAACUACUCCUACGAACCCACGACACGAAAGCCGACCGAGCGUGCUGACCCACUACUAGGCGGCCUCGUCUCGCCGCCGCCUCGAUCCGCCGCCUCCACCUCUCACGCGCGUCGCCCCCAUCGAUCCUCGCCGCCGUUCCCUUUGAUUUUGAGUUGGUCAAACUUUACGAGGCUUGACUUCAAACAGAUCUUAUACGCGAACUAAAAAGGACCGGAGGGAGUAUGAUGCUGACUGUCCUGGUCUGGAGUUGCGACUUCUGGAAUGCUUUCCUAAGCUCGCGACUAUUUAUCGCUACGAAAUUUAUUUGUGUGUUUUUUCCUUACUUUCUUAUGCUCAUGGCCUCUGCAUCUGUAUCAAUCAAAUGUAUUCGAGCUGGUAAACAACAGCGAGACCACUCUCUGCUUCACAAUCCUUUUGGUGGUUCUGAAAUUAUGUACAGUAGUAUGAUUAUGUUUUUUUUUCCUAUUUGUAAGUAGUAGAUGGUCUGACAACUAUCGUGUCCAUUAGACUUUUAUAACGAUGGGGAUUCAUUUUCCC